UUCUGUGGCUUAGUUGGCUAAAGCGCUGGUCUAGCGAAUAAUGAGUCGUAGGUUCGAGUCCCACCAGAA
rnacentral:tRNA from 1 species